rnacentral:rRNA from 1 species
AAACCAACAGGGAUUGCCUUAGUAGCGGCGAGUGAAGCGGCAAAAGCUCAAAUUUGAAAUCUAUCACUUUCAGUGAUCGAAUUGUAAUUUGAAGAAGGAUACUUUGAAAUUAGCUCUUGUCUAUGUUUCUUGGAACAGAACGUCACAGAGGGUGAGAAUCCCGUGCGAUGAGAUGAUCUAUUUUUCAUGUAAAGUUCCUUCGAAGAGUCGAGUUGUUUGGGAAUGCAGCUCUAAGUGGGUGGUAAAUUCCAUCUAAAGCUAAAUAUUGGCGAGAGACCGAUAGCGAACAAGUACAGUGAUGGAAAGAUGAAAAGAACUUUGAAAAGAGAGUGAAAAAGUACGUGAAAUUGUUGAAAGGGAAGGGCUUGAGAUCAGACUUGGUAUUGAAUUAUGUUUGCGUUUCGGCGUGGACCUCUACUUUUUACUGGGCCAGCAUCGGUUCGUACGGUAGGAUAAUUACUGAGAAAUGUGGCACCAUUCGUGGUGUGUUAUAGUCUUUGUAGAUACUGCCUGUGUGGACCGAGGACUGCGUCUUUUUGACUAGGAUGCUGGCAUAAUGAUCUUAAGUCGC